GGAAAGUUUCCUUGCGGAAAGGGGAGCAGAGAGUAGGGAGGUAGUCGCGAGAAGGGAGAGGGGCGAGAUGGAGUUCAGGGAAAUAGAGGAGAGAGAGAGGGAAGAACAGAGAAAAGAGAGGUGGGAGAAAAUAAGGGAAUCGACGUACAACAGAUGGUACAGGCUAGUGAAAGGAGAAGGGAUACCAGGAUAUCUGGGAAAGGGAUGGGGAGAAAGCAGGUGAAUAAGGGUGGCAAGAUUUAGAUUAGGAAGCGAGAUGAAGGAGGCAAGGUACCGGGAAGAAGAGGAAAAGAGAAGGUGUAGGGAUCGGUAGAGCGCCGUG
rnacentral:lncRNA from 1 species